AACGUAGGUGGCGAGCGUUAUCCGGAUUUACUGGGCGUAAAGCGCUUGUAGGUGGUUUGUAAGUUGGGCGUGAAAUCUCCGGGCUUAACUUGGAGAGGCCGUCCAAUACUGCGAGGCUAGAGGUUAUUCGAGGAAAGUGGAAUUCCUGGUGUAGUAGUGAAAUGCGUAGAGAUGUGGAGGAACACCGAUGGCGAAGGCAGCCCCCUGGGUCAAGAUUGGACGCUCAUGCACGAAAGCGUGGGGAGCAAACAGGG
rnacentral:rRNA from 1 species